AUUGAACGCUGGCGGCAGGCCUAACACAUGCAAGUCGAACGAGUGGCGGACGGGUGAGUCAUGUCUGGGAAACUGCUCGAUGGCGGGGGAUAACUACUGGAAACGGUAGCUAAUCCCGCAUACCAUCGGAUGUGCCUAGAGGGGAUUAGCUAGUAGGUGGGGUAACGGCUCACCUAGGCGCCGAUCCCUAGCUGGUCUGAGAGGGUGACCGGCCACACUGGAACUGAGACACGGUCCAGACUCCUACGGUAGGCAGCAGUGGGGAAUAUUGCACAAGGGGCGCAAGCCUGAUGCAGCAAUGCCGCGUGGAGGAAGAAGGCCUUCGGGUGGUAAAGUACUUUCAGCGAGGAGGCGUUACUCACAGAAAAAGCACCGGCUAACUCCGUGCCAGCAGCCGCGGUAAUAC
rnacentral:rRNA from 1 species